ACUUGAAAAACGAUGCACAGGAAGAUCUAAAAUACAAUGGGGAGAGGACCAUGUCGAGCUGUCAUCGCCUCUGGAGGCAGCAUUUGUAGCAUCUGGCCAGAUGUGGAAUCCAAAAAUAAAUGAGCCGUUGAUCAUGGGUUUGGUGCUGGCAAAACUGUUCUACCUACUUGAAUUCAGUCGACAUUUCCUAAGUGAGCACCAUGUUUUGGAUGCAAGUCCAAUACAACAAAAAUGAAGUUCUCUUGUCUUUGAGGAGCUUCUAGCCUACCAAAGGCAGCGUUCAACACCUGGGUGUGGAGUGGAGCACUGCUGGAAUGAGGGAGGUCCACAAAGUGACGCCAACUGGUUACUACUGGGGAGAGAUCAAGAAUGAGAGAAGGCAUUCUGGAAGAAAUUCAACUGGUAUAAAAUUUGAUAAAGUUACUUUCCUAGGAAUUGAAAAGAGAUUGAGGGGUGGGUACACGAUUUUCCUCACCAUUCAUUCCGUAGAGAAAAGGGGACCUACCUAAAUCUUCAUCUUUAAAAUAGCUUCAAUAAUUUUUUUUUUUUUCAUUUAACCGUCUCCUGUUCUGGUUAAUUUCUUUCGGUGUAAACACUUCAAUUUGGAAAAAAAAAAAAAAAAAAGUAGAAAUGUGGGACCCUGGCACUGGGUCCCAGAAAUAACGUCCUGAGAAGGUUUGCGGUCCCUGGCGGUAGGAUUAAUUAUCUACAAACCAGGCCUGGUGGGGUCUUCCUCCAAGGGCUCCCCGCAGAGAAUUAAAGAAGGGUGAAUUCAUUCCCAGCCCCCGCUCUGGUUUGUUCUGCUGUCUGAGGGAGAUUUCCCUUUGCUCUGCAGCGCCCCCAUGGGGCUAAGAUUGGAGUG